GACGAACGCUGGCGGCGUGCUUAACACAUGCAAGUCGAACGGAAAGGCGCUGAUUUUGUGGGGUGCUCGAGUGGCGAACGGGGGAGUAACACGUGAGUAACCUGCCCUUGACUUUGGGAUAACUUCAGGAAACUGGGGCUAAUACAGGAUAGGAGCUCCUGCUGCAUGGGGGGGGUUGGAAAGUUUCGGCGGUUGUGGAUGGACUAGCGGCUUAUCAGCUUGUUGGUGGGGUAGUUGCUGACCAAGGCUUUGACGGGUAGCCUGCCUGAGAGCGUAAACGGCGACAAUACGCCUACGAUACGGACCAGACUGCUACGGUCGGCAGCAGGGGGGAAUCUUGCACAAUGAGCGGAAGCGUGAUACAGCAACGCCGCGUGCGGGAUGCCCGCCUUCGGGUUAUGAACCGCUUUCGCCUGAAACGAAGAGUGAGUGACGGUACUGAGUAAAGAAGCACCGGCUAACUACGUG
rnacentral:rRNA from 1 species